AGUGAACGCUGGCGGUAGGCCUAACACAUGCAAGUCGAACGGCAGCACAGUAAGAGCUUGCUCUUACGGGUGGCGAGUGGCGGACGGGUGAGGAAUACAUCGGAAUCUACUUUUUCGUGGGGGCUAACGUAGGGACACUUACGCUAAUACCGCAUACGACCUACGGGUGAAAGCAGGGGAUCUUCGGCCCUUGCGCGAUUGAAUGAGCCGAUGUCGGAUUAGCUAGUUGGCGGGGUAAAGGCCCACCAAGGCGACGAUCCGUAGCUGGUCUGAGAGGAUGAUCAGCCACACUGGAACUGAGACACGGUCCAGACUCCUACGGGAGGCAGCAGUGGGGAAUAUUGGACAAUGGGCGCAAGCCUGAUCCAGCCAUACCGCGUGGGUGAAGAAGGCCUUCGGGUUGUAAAGCCCUUUUGUUGGGAAAGAAAAGCAGCAGGUUAAUACCCCGCUGUUCUGACGGUACCCAAAGAAUAAGCACCGGCUAACUUCGUG
rnacentral:rRNA from 1 species